rnacentral:rRNA from 1 species
AUUGAACGCAGGCGGCAGGCCUAACACAUGCAAGUCGAGCGGUAGAGAGAAGCUUGCUUCUCUUGAGAGCGGCGGACGGGUGAGUAAUGCCUAGGAAUCUGCCUGAUAGUGGGGGAUAACGUCCGGAAACGGACGCUAAUACCGCAUACGUCCUACGGGAGAAAGUGGGGGCUCUUCGGACCUCACGCUAUCAGAUGAGCCUAGGUCGGAUUAGCUAGUUGGUGAGGUAAUGGCUCACCAAGGCGACGAUCCGUAACUGGUCUGAGAGGAUGAUCAGUCACACUGGAACUGAGACACGGGCCAGACUCCUACGGGAGGCAGCAGUGGGGAAUAUUGGACAAUGGGCGAAAGCCUGAUCCAGCCAUGCCGCGUGUGUGAAGAAGGUCUUCGGAUUGUAAAGCACUUUAAGUUGGGAGGAAGGGUCGUUACCUAAUACGUGGCGAUUUUGACGUUACCGACAGAAUAAGCACCGGCUAACUCUGUGCCAGCCGCCGCGGUAAGAC